rnacentral:rRNA from 1 species
CCCGGCACAAGCGGUGGAGUAUGUGGUUUAAUUCGAUGCAACGCGAAGAACCUUACCUGGUCUUGACAUCCCGGAGACCCUUAGGAAACUAGGGGUGCUUCCAUCUGGAAGAAUCUGGAGACAGGUGCUGCAUGGCUGUCGUCAGCUCGUGUCGUGAGAUGUUGGGUUAAGUCCCGCGACGAGCGCAACCCUUGCCUUUAGUUGCCAGCAGUUCGGCUGGGCACUCUAAAGGGACUGCCGGUGUUAAACCGGAGGAAGGUGGGGAUGACGUCAAGUCCUCAUGGCCUUUAUGACCAGGGCUACACACGUACUACAAUGGCCGAUACAAAGGGCAGCGACACUGCGAGGUGAAGCCAAUCCCGUAAAAUCGGUCUCAGUCCGGAUUGGAGUCUGCAACUCGACUCCAUGAAGUUGGAAUCGCUAGUAAUCGUGGAUCAGCAUGCCACGGUGAAUACGUUCCCGGGCCUU